rnacentral:rRNA from 1 species
UACGGAGGGAGCUAGCGUUGUUCGGAAUUACUGGGCGUAAAGCGUACGUAGGCGGUUAUUCAAGUCAGAGGUGAAAGCCCGGGGCUCAACCCCGGAACGGCCUUUGAAACUAGAUAGCUAGAGUCUUGGAGAGGUUAGUGGAAUUCCGAGUGUAGAGGUGAAAUUCGUAGAUAUUCGGAAGAACACCAGUGGCGAAGGACGACUAACUGGACAAGUACUGACGCUGAGGUACGAAAGCGUGGG